rnacentral:lncRNA from 1 species
GUUUCUGUAAGCCAUUGGAUCAUGCUCUUAUACGGAGCUUGGCCAAAUCACACGAGGUCUUGAUCACUGUGGAAGAAGGGUCAAUUGGUGGUUUUGGAUCUCAUGUAGCUCACUUCAUGGCCUUGGAUGGCCUCCUUGAUGGCAACCUAAAGGUACAAUUCUUGAAUUAUAGAGUAGUUUUUAUGAAUACUACUGUACUAGAAGAAUCAAAUAAGAAAAUUCUCAUCGAGGCAAACGAUUAUGAAAACAUGAGCUACUUACACUUUUGUAACUGAAUUUUUUGCUGCAGUGGAGACCAUUGGUUCUUCCUGAUCGAUACAUCGACCAUGGAGCCCCGGUGGAUCAACUGAUGGAAGCAGG